CCUACGGGUGACAGCAGUGGAGAAUCAUUGGCAAUGGGCGCAAGCCUGACCCUGCGACGCCGCGUGAGGGAAUGAAGCUUUCGGGUUGUAAACUUCUUGUCUCGGGGACGAAGAAAGUGACGGUACCUGAAGAAUAAGCCACGACUAACUACGUGCCAGCAGCCGCGGUAGUACGGAGGUGGCAAGAAGUAUCCGGAGUUAUUGGGGGUAAAGGGCGUGUAGGCGGGAGCGCAAGUCAGAUGUGAAAAGUCAGGGCUCAACCCGGAGCCUGCAUUUGAAACUGUGGUUCUUGAGUGGUGGAGAGGGAACCGGAAUUCCGUGUGUAGCGGUGAAAUGCGUAGAUAUACGGAGGAACACCAGUGGCGAAGGCGGAUUGCUGGACAGUAACUGACGCUGAGGCGCGAAAGCGUGGGGAGCAAACAGGAUUAGAUACCCUAGUAGUC
rnacentral:rRNA from 1 species